rnacentral:rRNA from 1 species
GGUUGAUAUUCCUGUACCACCUAUAAUCGUUUUAAUCGAUGGGGGGACGCAGUAGGAUAGGCGAAGCGUGCGAUUGGAUUGCACGUCUAAGCAGUAAGGCUGAGUAUUAGGCAAAUCCGGUACUCGUUAAGGCUGAGCUGUGAUGGGGAGAAGACAUUGUGUCUUCGAGUCGUUGAUUUCACACUGCCGAGAAAAGCCUCUAGAUAGAAAAUAGGUGCCCGUACCGCAAACCGACACAGGUAGUCAAGAUGAGAAUUCUAAGGUGAGCGAGCGAACUCUCGUUAAGGAACUCGGCAAAAUGACCCCGUAACUUCGGGAGAAGGGGUGCUCUUUAGGGUUAACGCCCAGAAGAGCCGCAGUGAAUAGGCCCAAGCGACUGUUUAUCAAAAACACAGGUCUCUGCUAAACCGUAAGGUGAUGUAUAGGGGCUGACGCCUGCCCGGUGCUGGAAGGUUAAGAGGAGUGGUUAGCUUCUGCGAAGCUACGAAUCGAAGCCCCAGUAAACGGCGGCCGUAACUAUAACGGUCCUAAGGUAGCGAAAUUCCUUGUCGGGUAAGUUCCGACCCGCACGAAAGGCGUAACGAUUUGGGCACUGUCUCAACGAGAGACUCGGUGAAAUCAUAGUACCUGUGAAGAUGCAGGUUACCCGCGACAGGACGGAAAGACCCCGUGGAGCUUUACUGUAGCCUGAUAUUGAAAUUCGGCACAGCUUGUACAGGAUAGGUAGGAGCCUUUGAAACGUGAGCGCUAGCUUACGUGGAGGCGCUGGUGGG